GUGAGACAUGUUUGAUAUCUGUAGUCUAGGCCUGUUGCAGGGCUCGCAGAGUCAUGUUUCUGCCGUACGGAAGAACUUCACGUUUUUGCAAAUUUUUCCGGUUGACUGUCACAUAGUUUCAUUGUCGCGUUUUGUCUGUUGCCUGUUUGCUGAGUGUUUUGUGAACGCUUUGUAAACGUUGUAUGCAGGUCCGACGGGAGAGAGCUACCUUUAAUAUUUAGAAUGUUUCUUUUCAGUUUUUGGUAUAUACGAUCGCAUCCUCUGUUGAAUUUUGCUGUGGCCACCUUUUGACGACGCUGAUUAGUGGUGCUGUUUAGGAGUUUGCUAUCUGUGUGUUUUUCUUGUUUUAUGAAAGUGUUACCAGGAUGCUAGAGCUGUCGCUGUCGAGGAGAUGCAACAUGGCUACCCUCUGAGUCACCGUGGUGGGAUAAUAGAAUCCGUUGCCAUCCUCUACCUUGGAAGGCAAGGGAGGCUUUUGUCUGUUAUUGAGGAGAGUUUCAGACCGAGAUGUUCACCAUUUUCUUGUCAUUUUCUGAUUUUUGUGUAUAUUCUAGUGAUACGCAGACACGUGGUUUGAAACCCCGAACAAAGAAGCAAGAUGGAUACUCUCACAGUAUCGCCGUGGCUGAAAUCACAAUCUGCAUCCAUCCUCUACCAGGGAAUUCUACGAACGCCUCCAUACAGUGCGGAGUUCUCAGGAACCGGGACGUGCUGGUUCACGCGUGACGUUCUCCCCCACCCGUAACGACCCUUGUAAGAAGUUUCGGACUUCAGGGAUCUUCAGAUGCGGCAGGUACGACAAAAGAUGUAGCAGCAAGUGGUGGCGCAGGAACAGCAGCCUGUCAGCCUCUCUUAGGCCCCCUCACCCUCCUCGCCAUUCCGGACACUUGAGUGCCACAAGGAAAGGACAGCUCAUGAAGACGGUACAGCCCGGGCAGGCACCGGCGAGUGCCGCGGGUAGAGCUCACGAAGAUGGUAAGGCCCGGGCAGGCACCGGCGAGUGUCGCGGGUAGAGCUCACGAACGACGAAGAUGGUAAGGCCCGGGCAGGCA